rnacentral:rRNA from 1 species
UACGCAGGGGGCUAGCGUUGCUCGGAAUCACUGGGCGUAAAGCGCACGUAGGCGGAUUGUUAAGUCAGGGGUGAAAUCCUGGAGCUCAACUCCAGAACUGCCUUUGAUACUGGCGAUCUUGAGUCCGGGAGAGGUGAGUGGAACUGCGAGCGUAGAGGUGAAAUUCGUAGAUAUUCGCAAGAACACCAGUGGCGAAGGCGGCUCACUGGCCCGAUACUGACGCUGAGGCACGAAAGCGUGGGGAGCAAACAGG